UAGGGAAUCUUCCGCAAUGGGCGAAAGCCUGACGGAGCAACGCCGCGUGAGUGAUGAAGGUCUUCGGAUCGUAAAACUCUGUUAUUAGGGCAGAACAAAUGUGUAAGUAACUAUGCACGUCUUUACGGUACCUAAUCAGAAAGCCACGGCUAACUACGUGCCAGCAGCCGCGGUAAUACGUAGGUGGCAAGCGUUAUCCGGAAUUAUUGGGCGUAAAGCGCGCGUAGGCGGUUUUUUAAGUCUGAUGUGAAAGCCCACGGCUCAACCGUGGAGGGUCAUUGGAAACUGGAAAACUUGAGUGCAGAAGAGGAAAGUGGAAUUCCAUGUGUAGCGGUGAAAUGCGCAGAGAUAUGGAGGAACACCAGUGGCGAAGGCGACUUUAUGGUCUGUAACUGACGCUGAUGUGCGAAAGCGUGGGGAUCAAACAGG
rnacentral:rRNA from 1 species